GCUACGAUAGAUCAACGGUAGAUCGUCUCCAACUUAUUCAUAAGAAACCUUACAAGUUAGGAGGAAAUUGCGGUUCGACUCCGUAUUGUAGCA